CAAUAAACUCAGGUCCAGGAUGCGUAUCAAGAUUAUAGAUUGCAUACACCGUUCUUGGCCUUUUGUUAAACAAGUUGUUUUUGGAAUAUGUGACUGAACCAAACAACUGGAGUAUGUGACCCCUUGAAGGCUAUAGAGAAAGCCAUAGUUAGCUCUGAUCUAUGUAUGACUCCGAAUAAUGAUGGAUAAUUGAUACGAUUGAGCAUCCCUCAGUUGACAUCUGAUAGGAGGAAGGAACUAACGAAGGUAGUGGCUAAACAAGCUGAAGAAGGGAAGGUACAUUUGCUAAGUUUUUUACACUUGAGAUAGUGGACUUUCUGUUGUUUCUUACUAAUUUAAGGGGUUUACUUCUCCUUGCUGUUGUUCAUAGGAACUCACAGUUUCCUCCAUUUUAUCUCUACAAGUUCAUAGGCACUCUACAAGUUCAGUUGUAUCACUGGGUAGCCAAAUUUGUUUUUCACCAAAUUUUGUCUUCAUCAAGUGUAAAACACUUGUCCCCAACGGAAAAAGCCAUGAACUAAAAGAAUAUAUAGAAAAACAAGUAUAUAAUACUAAUUCAUCAAAUUGGCUAUAAUUAUUUAUAUCGGUUCUCAUUCUAAAAUCAUUUUACGAGUUCAAUCAAGUGGGAUGUUUGGCAAGAAUUUAAUUAAAGUAUUAAAUCGAAUCAGGGUCUCUUAGUUUGUUACACCACUCCACUUUUGCAUAUUACCUAGUCUUCUUUGGUAAUCAUAGUGUCAUCCACUUGCAAAACUUCCCAAGUGGAACUUUGAUGGGUCUAGCACAGGGCAAGCUCCAGGGGAAGACACUGAAGUCAUCCUAUAGUAUGAUGCCCUUCUUGCUCUUAUUUGUUUUCUUAAUUUUACAAAUAAACUGAUAACUGGAGUUUCCUUUUUGUUUGGCGCAUUAUGAAAAAUUAAAAAACCAAAAGCCCACAGGCUAUUUUCAGGGACCCAUUUAGGAGAGGCAGAAAUAUUCUUGUAAGUUUUUUCAUUAUGAUUAACUGGCUUCUAAUUAAGCAAGCAUUUAUUAAUGAGUCAUCAAAAUCCACUAUUGUGGUUCAGCAAUUCAUUUUAUAGUAAAAAUCUAUAGGUGAUAUGCGAUACUUACACCCCUGUUGUGCUCAUUCUGUAAUUUUUUUUUUGUAAGUAAAGAUUUUCAAAACAAAACCUUGCAAGGAAGAUCUGUUAACUGAGUUUUCUUCCUUUAAGCUUUAGGAGAAAGAGACAUCUCGAACAAGUUUAGUGGAAAGUGAGUAAUAUUAAAUUUUCUUCUGUUUUGGCUUCAUUUGUUAGUUAUUGGUGAGUAAAACAUGUACUCACUCUGCCCACUUUUUUUUUAAUUUUUUUUUCUCUCUUCCCCAUAUCUUUUUUCAUUUGGAUUUGUGUGGGGAAGUGUUAUUUUUGUUUUUGGAAUUCUGCAAAAGGAAUUUCCAAUUAUAUUGAUCUGGGAUCUUUUUUGGCUUUCGUUUUCUGGGGCUAAGUUUUGAUCAUGAUUUUUGUCUCCUCUACUAUCUUUUUUAUGUAUUUCAUAUCCACAAGUAUUUAGACACUGCCUUGUGUAUAACUAGGACAUGUUUUAGCAAUCAAUAACUAGGACAUGUUUUAGCAAUCAAUAACCAGGACAUGGUUAUUGGUUAUUUUGGAUUAGUAAGGCUUGUUUUUAAGGGGUGCUAUCAAAAUUGUUUUAUGAGGCUUUCCUUCUUAUUUUGAUGCUUACGAUUAUUAUUCUCUGCUUUUGCACUUCUUCCUUAAUUUUGUUUCACCUUAUCAUUUGACCAAAAAUGGUACUAGUGGUAGCAUGAAGCCUGAAACUUUUGAUAGAAGCUUUGAGGUUAUUAAACACAUAUAUCCAAUAAUAAGAAAUGUGUAAAAAAGCAUGUGGAAAUUGUACCGUAUUGAAGUGUUGUUUGUACUUCUUCUCUAUCUUCAUCUGGCUGGGUGUUGAGGAUGCUGAGUGUUUGCUUCGAGGGUGUUGAGGAUCUCCUAGGUGGUGGUGGGUCCAAGUAUGGAACGAGCAUAAAGAGUUGAUGCUGAGCUUGCCAAUGCUGAAGCCUGGUGGUACAAGCAAGAGUAUAUAAUCAACGAGCUGAACAUAAACUAGGUGAUAACAACGCCGUGUCAUGAGGAGAUCUUGCCCACCAACUCAUGGACUACGCGAAGGCCUUAUGUACUGAAAGGCUACGCAUAUUCCGAGGAAUAGUGCAAGCAGGAGAACCUUUAUUGGCUAGCAAAGUUGAAAACAAAGUUUUGAAUGACUCAGGUAACAACUUCAAAGAAGGAAGUAACACAUCCAUGCCUGAAUUUAGAAGGAGCAGGAACUACCUCUGAUGCUGGAGUUCCAUCUCACAUAGUUUUAUACAAACUUUUGAGGUCUUGAGGUUAAUUUGUGCGACCAUUCUCUUGUAUUUGAGCAUGCUUUGUAAUUUAGAACUUCGUUUAUCAAUAUAUAUUUCUU